rnacentral:rRNA from 1 species
CAGGUAGUUGGUAGGGUAACGGCCUACCAAGCCUACGAUCCGUAGCUGGUCUGAGAGGAUGAUCAGCCACACUGGGACUGAGAUACGGCCCAGACUCCUACGGGAGGCAGCAGUGGGGAAUAUUGGACAAUGGGGGCAACCCUGAUCCAGCAAUGCCGCGUGAGUGAUGAAGGCCUUCGGGUUGUAAAGCUCUUUCGGCGGGGAAGAUGAUGACGGUACCCGCAGAAGAAGCCCCGGCUAACUUCGUGCCAGCAGCCGCGGUAAUACGAAGGGGGCUAGCGUUGUUCGGAAUUACUGGGCGUAAAGGGCGCGUAGGCGGUGCUGUAAGUCAGGCGUGAAAUCCCCGGGCUCAACCUGGGAAUUGCGUUUGAUACUGCGGCGCUGGAAUGCGGGAGAGGAUGGCGGAAUUCCCAGUGUAGAGGUGAAAUUCGUAGAUAUUGGGAAGAACACCGGUGGCGAAGGCGGCCAUCU